AAAAUUAGCUAGGAGUGGUGGCAGGUGCCUGUAAUCCUAGCUACUCAGGAGGCUGAGGCAGGAGAAUCGCUUCAACUUGGGAGGCAGAGGUUGCCGUGAGCCGAGAUCGCGCCAUUGCACUCCAGCUGGGCAACAAGAGCAAAACUGCGUCUCAGAAAAAAAAAAAAAAGAGUUGAUGUGUUGAAAGACAGAGAAGCGAAGACAGAGACGUGGAAAGACAGGGAGAGAGACACGGAAGGACAGAGACGUGGAGAGAGACUCAGACAGAGACGUGGAGGAGACACAGAGAGACAGAGAGGUGGAGAGACACAGAGAGACUUGGAGAGAGACAAAGCAAGACAGGACGGGAGAACAAGGACAAGCUCAGGUAAGCCUCAGCCGGUGCUGCAGGCAGUCUGACUCGCA
rnacentral:sRNA from 1 species